rnacentral:rRNA from 1 species
AGUGAACGCUGGCGGUAGGCCUAACACAUGCAAGUCGAACGGCAGCACAGUAAGAGCUUGCUCUUACGGGUGGCGAGUGGCGGACGGGUGAGGAAUACAUCGGAAUCUACUUUUUCGUGGGGGAUAACGUAGGGAAACUUACGCUAAUACCGCAUACGCCCUACGGGUGAAAGCAGGGGAUCUUCGGACCUUGCGCGAUUGAAUGAGCCGAUGUCGGAUUAGCUAGUUGGCGGGGUAAAGGCCCACCAAGGCGACGAUCCGUAGCUGGUCUGAGAGGAUGAUCAGCCACACUGGAACUGAGACACGGUCCAGACUCCUACGGGAGGCAGCAGUGGGGAAUAUUGGACAAUGGGCGCAAGCCUGAUCCAGCCAGACCGCGUGGGUGAAGAAGGCCUUCGGGUUGUAAAGCCCUUUUGUUGGGAAAGAAAAGCAGCAGGUUAAUACCCCGCUGUUCUGACGGUACCCAAAGAAUAAGCACCGGCUAACUUCGUG